rnacentral:rRNA from 1 species
CAAUAGCGUAUAUUAAAGUUGUUGCGGUAAAAAAGCUCGUAGUUGGACUUCUGUUGAGAGAUACCGGUCCAUGCAACGCAUGCGUAUUUGGUAAGUCUCGGCAUCCUCUCGAAAAACUUCUUUGCGCUUGAUUGCGUGAAAAGAGUUUCGGGACUUUUACUUUGAGGAAAUUAGAGUGUUCACGGCAGGCCAUCGCCAGGAUACAUUAGCAUGGAAUAAUACUAUAGGAUCUUGAUCCUAUUUUGUUGGUUUCUAGGAUUAAGAUAAUGAUUAAUAGGGACAAUUGGGGGCAUUCGUAUCAACACGUCAGAGGUGAAAUUCUUGGAUUGUGUUGCGACGAACUACUGCGAAAGCAUUUGCCAAGGAUGUUUUCAUUAA